rnacentral:lncRNA from 1 species
CAUAGAACCUCUUGGAACCCCAGUUUCCACAUCUGGAAGAAGGGGCAGAAUAGUAUCAAAAAUGCUUCACUCCCAGGAAUGUGAUGGUGAAUCUGACAGAGGAAGAAUUAAAUGACUUGUUCAAGGUCACCUUUGAGGAAUUUGCAGGAAGUUUAACUUAUGUAUAUUUUUCCCCUGUAGUACCCCAGGGGCCUAAUGACAGGAAAACAAAUGAAGUGGAUCCCCAUCUUCCACCCUUGCCUCCGCUAAGCCAUCAGAGGACAAGUUUCCCACCCCACUCUCUCCAAUUUCACUUGAAAAAUAAAACAGGCCUCCAGCUGUGAAAUGGAUUAUGCUCUACAACUAUGUACCUGGAAUAGAAGCCAUCAUUCUUCAUGAAGUUUGCUGAGAAUUAUGUAUCGCAGCCUGGCAGCUUCCUGUUCCCUCGUUAGCCUGCAUAUCCCACUUAACGAAAGAUUCGCCAUGCACUGACUUGUAUGUGACUCACAGUGUGCACAGUAUGCACUGACUGUGACCUGUCCCCAAAUGAACACAGUACCAGUCUAACGUACCACCUUACCUAUGGCUCUCUCCCAUACACACCCAAUCCACUGCAGGCAAAUGAUCUACCCACAAUCUCCCAAACACAGUCUUCACUGUCUGGUCACUGCUCCUUUACACGUGGCAUUCACUCUGCUUGCAGAGG